GACGAACGCUGGCGGCGUGCUUAACACAUGCAAGUCGAACGGAAAGGCCCCUUUGGGGGUACUCGAGUGGCGAACGGGUGAGUAACACGGGAGUAACCUGCCCUUGACUUCGGGAUAACUUCAGGAAACUGGGGCUAAUACCGGAUAGGAAUCCUUGCUGCAUGGUGGGGGUUGGAAAGCUUCGGCGGUUUUGGAUGGACUCGCGGCUUAUCAGCUUGUUGGUGGGGUAGUGGCUUACCAAGGCUUUGACGGGUAGCCGGCCUGAGAGGGCGACCGGCCACAUUGGGACUGAGAUACGGCCCAGACUCCUACGGGAGGCAGCAGUGGGGAAUAUUGCACAAUGGGCGGAAGCCUGAUGCAGCAACGCCGCGGGCGGGAUGACGGCCUUCGGGUUGUAAACCGCUUUCAGCAGGGGCGAAGCUUGUGGUGACGGUACCUGCAGAAGAAGCACCGGCUAACUACGUG
rnacentral:rRNA from 1 species